AGCAGCCGCGGUAAUUCCAGCUCCAAUAGCGUAUAUUAAAGUUGUUGCAGUUAAAAAGCUCGUAGUUGAAUUUCGGGAUCAAUAUGUCGGUCGUGCCUCGGUACGUACUGGCGUCAUUGGUUUCUCCCUUCUGAAGAACCUUGAUGUCAUUAAUUUGGUGUCUUGGGGAAUCAGGACUGUUACUUUGAAAAAAUUAGAGUGUUUAAAGCAGGCUCGCGCUUGAAUACAUUAGCAUGGAAUAAUGAAAUAGGACGUUUGAUUCUAUUUUGUUGGUUUCUAGGAUCGACGUAAUGAUUAAUAGGGAUAGUUGGGGGCAUUAGUAUUCAAUUGUCAGAGGUGAAAUUCUUGGAUUUACUGAAGACUAACUACUGCGAAAGCAUUUGCCAAGGAUGUUUUCAUUAAUCAAGAACGAAAGUUAGGGAUCGAAGACGAUCAGAUACCGUCGUAGUCUUAACCAUAAACUAUGCCGACUAGGGAUCGGAUGAUUGGUGUAUUUUUAANGUACUCAUUCGGCGUCCCG
rnacentral:rRNA from 1 species